UACAGAGGUCCCAAGCGUUGUUCGGAUUCACUGGGCGUAAAGGGCGCGUAGGCGGCCUGAUAAGUCGGGGGUGAAAUCCUGUGGCUUAACCACAGGGCUGCCUCCGAGACUGUCGGGCUCGAGCACAGUAGAGGCAGGUGGAAUUCCCGGUGUAGCGGUGGAAUGCGUAGAGAUCGGGAAGAACAUCGGUGGCGAAGGCGGCCUGCUGGGCUGUUGCUGACGCUGAGGCGCGACAGCGUGGGGAGCAAACAGG
rnacentral:rRNA from 1 species